AGCAGCCGCGGUAAUUCCAGCUCCAAUAGCGUAUAUUAAAGUUGUUGCAGUUAAAAAGCUCGUAGUUGAAUUUCGGGAUCAAUUAAUUGGUCGUGCCUUUGGUACGUACUGAUUUUAUUGGUUUCUCCCUUCUGACGAACCAUGAUGUCAUUAAUUUGGUGUCGUGGAGAAUCAGGACUGUUACUUUGAAAAAAUUAGAGUGUUUAAAGCAAGCUAACGCUUGAAUACAUUAGCAUGGAAUAAUGAAAUAGGACGUUUGAUCCUAUUUUGUUGGUUUCUAGGAUCGACGUAAUGAUUAAUAGGGAUAGUUGGGGGCAUUAGUAUUCAAUUGUCAGAGGUGAAAUUCUUGGAUUUAUUGAAGACUAACUACUGCGAAAGCAUUUGCCAAGGAUGUUUUCAUUAAUCAAGAACGAAAGUUAGGGGAUCGAAGACGAUCAGAUACCGUCGUAGUCUUAACCAUAAACUAUGCCGACUAGGGAUCGGAUGAUGUUAAUUUUUUAAUGACUCA
rnacentral:rRNA from 1 species